rnacentral:rRNA from 1 species
GCGGAGGAAAAGAAACCAACAGGGAUUGCCUUAGUAGCGGCGAGUGAAGCGGCAAAAGCUCAAAUUUGAAAUCUGGCACUUUCAGUGUCCGAGUUGUAAUUUGAAGAAGGUAUCUUUGGGUCUGGCUCUUGUCUAUGUUUCUUGGAACAGAACGUCACAGAGGGUGAGAAUCCCGUGCGAUGAGAUGUCCCAGACCUAUGUAAAGUUCCUUCGAAGAGUCGAGUUGUUUGGGAAUGCAGCUCUAAGUGGGUGGUAAAUUCCAUCUAAAGCUAAAUAUUGGCGAGAGACCGAUAGCGAACAAGUACAGUGAUGGAAAGAUGAAAAGAACUUUGAAAAGAGAGUGAAAAAGUACGUGAAAUUGUUGAAAGGGAAGGGCUUGAGAUCAGACUUGGUAUUUUGUAUGUUACUCUCUCGGGGGUGGCCUCUACAGUUUACCGGGCCAGCAUCAGUUUGGGCGGUAGGACAAUUGCAAAGAAAUGUGGCACUGCCUCGGUAGUGUGUUAUAGUCUUUGUCGAUACUGCCAGCCUAGACUGAGGACUGCGGCUUCGGCCUAGGAUGUUGGCAUAAUGAUCUUAAGUCGCCCGUCU